CGGAGGCGGAGGCGGCACCCGCGGCACCGUCUCCCGCUUCCCCGCUCGGUGCUGCGGGCCGGCCGGCCGACCGGGCCGGGAAUCUCCUGCGAACUGGGGAGGAGCUGCCGCCGCCAGGCCGGCUGAGCGUCCGGGGAGCGUGGAAGGGGGCGGGGAACGCGGGGAGCCGGGGCCGAUCCCGGCCCUUAAAGCGGCCCCCCCGCUCCCCGCGCCCCGGCAGCCUCACUCCGGAGCCGCGGCCGCAGCAGUUCAAGCUCUGUAUCUGUAACAUCAAAGUGCCAUCUCCUGAUUGGACUGUUUUCAGGAACUCGCGUCAGUUUUCGUAACAGCUUAAAAGCAAGGGGAGAGGCGAAGCAUAGAGAGCUGCAGAUCAGACCCUCCUGAACCCCCCGGAGCAAGAGAGACCCCUGGAGAAUGCUGGCUGCCAGGCGGCUGGGGGGGUCCUUCCUCUGAGGUGGGUAGGCCGGUGUCCGUGGGACAGCUUCCUCGCUCCUGGGCCCACCAUGGCCUCCACUCUCUGGCUGGACGGCUGAUGUGACCGGUGCCCCGAGCGUGCACACUGCUGGACUGGGUGCCGUCCCAGCUACCACCUGCUCUCAGAGGCUGGGAGCAGGGCAGGUUGGUGUCCGAUGCUACCAGAAACCAGACAGGCAGAGUGAUGGGCUCCUGCAAGCUGAGAUGGAGGUGACCUGAGGCCUCCUGGAUGUUCCUGGUGACGGGACAGCUGACAAGUUGGAACACAGGCCUGCCGGGGAGCAGUAUGCAGGAAGCUGGCUUUCAGGCCACAAAUGCUUUCACAGAGUGCAAAUUCACCUGCACCAGCGGGCAAUGCUUGUAUCUUGGUUCACUGGUCUGUAACCAACAGAACGACUGUGGGGACAACAGUGAUGAAGAAAACUGUCUCCUGGUGACUGAACAUCCACCUCCGGGCAUCUUCAGCUGGGACAUGGGUUCGAGCCCUGGUCCGGGAAGAUCCCACAUGGUGUGGAGCAGCUAAGCCCGCGUGCCACAACGACUGAGCCUGCGCUCUAGAGCCCGCAAGCCACAACUACUGAAACCCGCGUGCCUAGAACCCGUGCUCUGCAACAAGAAAAGCCACCGCAAUGAGAAGCCCGCGCACCACAACAAAGAGUAGCCCCUGCUCGCCACAACUAGAGAAAAGCCCGCGUGCAGCAACGAAGAUCCAACACAGCCAUAAAUAAAUAAAUAAAUAAAUAAAUAAAUAAAUAAAUAAUUUUAUUGAGCUUGUCAAAUAACCAGCUUUUCUCUUCAUAAUUUUCUGUAUUACUUUUCUGUUUUUUAUUUCAUUGAUUCAGUUCUUAUCUU